CAUAACCGGUCCAAUGCUAGAGAGCGAGAGUCGACUGUGAGGAGAGAGAGAAUCGGCAUCUUGCAUUUUCCUUAUUAGAUUAUGAUUUGUACUCUUUCCAUAUUUGUAUUUCCUUUCUUUAGUCUUUCCAUUAUUCUAUGACAGUGUAAUUCCCUAUAUAUAAAGGGCUCCUUAUGUUUAUGAAUAAUACAGAAACAUAGAUUCUAUUCUCUAGUUUCACAACACGUUAUCAGCACGAUAGAAUCUAAAUCCCUAAGCUAAAACAAACCGCCUAAAACUCUAACCCUAAUCGGCGAACAUCCUUACCAGCGAACCAUCCUAAUCCCGAUCGCGAAACCUUACAUCCCGAUCCUUGUUUGCAAUCUGUUCCCGAUCAGCUUCAGCUUAAGGCGUUCCUGAUCCUAGCUCAGACGAUCUCGGCUUGUUCAACCUUAGCUUGCAAACAAGACGAUCUCAGACAGCUCGCGGACAGCUCGCGACCCGAUCAGCACGUUGGACAGCUCACGUUCCCGAUCUCAGCAAUCAGACAGCUCGCGACAACAUCAGCUCGCGUUCCGAUCAGUUCCAGCUCGUGGUUCAUCUCUUUGGUGGUCCAUUCAACCCUACUUGAGGUUAAGGUAAUACGAAACCUUAAAGAGAACCCAUAAUCGAAUUUGAUUGUUUGAUAAGAAUCGAAACCAUAAAAACUACAAACCCUAAUAGUAUGAUCUAAUGUUGAAAUCAAAACCUUAGGGUAAUAGAUCAAAACCCCAAUGAGUAAAUCGAAGCUCAUAAGUCAUAAUCAUAAGUUCGAUACCCCAAACCCUAAUCGAGAUUGAUUGUUUAAUCAGUUAAAAUUGAAACCUUAAUGGUUUUGAAUCUCAAAACCCCCAAUGAUCUAAGAUCAAAAUCGAAACCCUAAUAUCCAUGAUCC
rnacentral:lncRNA from 1 species